rnacentral:rRNA from 1 species
GAUGAACGCUAGCGGCAGGCCUAACACAUGCAAGUCGAGGGGCAGCACAGGAAAGUAGUAAUACUUUUGGGUGGCGACCGGCGAACGGGUGCGUAACGCGUAUACAACCUGCCUUCUACUGGGGGAUAAUUCGGAGAAAUCUGGUCUAAUACCCCAUAACAUAUGGAUCGGCAUCGGUUCAUGUUGAAAUUUUCGGAGGUGACGGAUGGGCAUGCGUAGCAUUAGCUUGUUGGUGAGGUAACGGCUCACCAAGGCGACGAUGCUUAGGGGGACUGAGGGGUUUUCCCCCUACACUGGUACUGAGACACGGACCAGACUCCUACGGGAGGCAGCAGUGAGGAAUAUUGGUCAAUGGGCGCAAGCCUGAACCAGCCAUGCCGCGUGCAGGAUGACGGCUCUAUGAGUUGUAAACUGCUUUUGUACGAGGGUAAAGUGGGUUACGUGUAACCUUUUGAAAGUAUCGUACGAAUAAGGAUCGGCUAACUCCGUGCCAGCCGCCGCAGUAA